GCAUUUUUAGUUGAAUUUUUGCUAUAGUUGCUUUAAAACUAUAGAACUGGGUUCUUUAUACUGUUUUUUCCGCUUGGACCCAAUCAACAUCAUUUUGGGAGUGAGUAGAAGUGUCAUACGCAAAUCUACAUCCAAUCUUAAACAUUCUUAAAUGUGUCAUUGUGGUUUCCUUAUAUUUUUGGGGAUUACCCCAAACAGCCAUUUCAUGGUUUUGCUAAUGCAUGGUGCUUCUUUGUAACAUAGGGAGGGGACUAUACCAGCACAUGUGUGCACAAAAUCACAGAAAGGGGACUAAUUUGUUUUUUCUUUGUCAUUUUUAUUAUCCUUAUAAUUGUUCACUUAUCGUGAUUUAAGUUUAUUCUGUUAUGUAACAAGUUU
rnacentral:misc_RNA from 1 species